CUCUCUCAAACUUGCAUGUCUCUAGUCUAUAUAAAUGCAUGAACUUGGGUCAUAUUGAUAAGUAAACUAAGAGGGAACAACAUUAAGAUGAGAUCCUAUAAACAUUUUUGCAUGCUUCUCCUUCUCCUUCCCCUUCUUGUGUUUCCACAUGAAGUCCAUGGCGCACAAAUGGGAAUCCGCAAGCUCAAGGAGACAAACCAUGUUGAUCGUCCAGUGACGGUCGAGCCCACUCGGUUUCCAUUUACAAAGUUUCCGUUUAUUAAGCCGCGCACCCCGACUCUUCCGCCCCAUCGAGAACCUCUUUGCUCGAAAGUUGAUUAUUGUUCGCCUCCUCAGUCCCCAAAGCUUUUGGGAUCUGGUCAUUAACCUCCAUAAGGUGUCAAAAGAAGUUGAAUGAAUUAAGCGGCCGAUGUAGCUGUUAAGCUACGUACCUAUCUAUCCAGUUACUUUUUUUAUGCUUUUAAUAUCGAAUUAUGUAUUUCCAGUUUGGUUGCAAUCUCUUUUCGAAGCUGAUUUGCGUGUGUACCAUGUUAAUUAUUUAUGAAUGUACUGUAUGUUGAAUUUAAAUUUAAAAUAUAAAUAAAAUGGUCAUGAUC